rnacentral:rRNA from 1 species
GAUGAACGCUGGCGGCGUGCCUAAUACAUGCAAGUCGAGCGAACAGACGAGGAGCUUGCUCCUCUGACGUUAGCGGCGGACGGGUGAGUAACACGUGGAUAACCUACCUAUAAGACUGGGAUAACUUCGGGAAACCGGAGCUAAUACCGGAUAAUAUAUUGAACCGCAUGGUUCAAUAGUGAAAGACGGUUUUGCUGUCACUUAUAGAUGGAUCCGCGCCGGAUUAGCUAGUUGGUAAGGUAACGGCUUACCAAGGCAACGAUGCGUAGGCGACCUGAGAGGGUGAUCGGCCACACUGGAACGGAGACACGGUCCAGACUCCUACGGGAGGCAGCAGUAUGGAAGCUUCCGCAAUGGGCGAAAGCCUGACGGAGCAACGCCGCGUGAGUGAUGAAGGUCUUCGGAUCGUAAAACUCUGUUAUUAGGGAAGAACAAAUGUGUAAGUAACUAUGCACGUCUUGACGGUACCUAGUCAGAAAGCCACGGCUAACUACGUG